rnacentral:lncRNA from 1 species
UUUUUUUUUUUUUUUUUUUGCUCUGUGGCAUGUGGAGUGGAAGUUCCAGACCAGGGAUCGAAGCUGCACCACAGCAGCGACAAUGCCAGUUUCUUAACUGCUAGGUCACCAAGGAACUCCCUCCCAAGGCUAUACUUAAGGCUUGGUUGUCGUAUAGUCUCUAGUGCUUGAGUGACAGAGAGGAAAAGAUAGAGAAGGUGAGACUUUUGUCUUUAUUCCUUUGCACACUGCUGGAAGCAGGUAAAGCUCUCUCCAUAAAUCUCUUUCCUGGUUCCUCAAAGUGUUAUCUGAGGACCUGCAGCAUCAUGUUGCCUGGGGGCUUGUUAGAAAUGCGGCAUCUCAAGACCCCAUCUGAUUCCACUGAACUGGAAUCUGCAUUGUAAUAAGACCCCCAGCUGAGAUUCAGAUGCUCAUUCAUGCUUGAGAAGCGCUCAUCUAGGAAGCGUUACACACAUCCUUUUCUUAGGUGACAGUAGAGCCAGCCUAUGAAAAACUGAAGGGACAUCACUGCUGCUACUAGGCAUUUCGUUAGGGAUGUGGUUGUGAGCUCAGUGUGAAUUAUGCAGUUAAGGACUUGGCUACACCUGGGACCCUAUAACAGCUUACUGAAAGGCCCGGUUGGUUUCUCCAUGUGCUCCUGGCUGAAAGAGGAGCAGGCUCUACCAGGAAACCAAGUGCAGCCAGUGAUUCCAUAACGCUGAUAUUCCCAUUCCUCAGGAUUUUAAAGCUGACAGAUUUUGAGAAAUAAUCUAGCCGUUAUGAUCCUAGUGAAGGACUGAGAAAAACAGCAUUAACUUCUAGGUUCAAAAAAAUGUGUCCUCUGUUUUCUUUGUAUCACCUUAAGACUCAACUGGGAGAGUGGGACUCUCGCAAAAUGAGCACUCAAUAAAUGUCAUUAACAGUGAUUUGCACCAGAGUAGUGAUAUUUUUAAUGCAAUUUAUUCCAACAAACGGUCUGCUUCCCAUGUUACCCUUUAUAUACACAGCAACCAGCAGCCUACACUGCUGAGUGUACAGAAUAUCAGGUUCCAGCUAAGUGUGAUUAGAUAUUGAUUUCUGAGCCCCACAAACAUUUAGCAAUGCAGAAACUCUUGAGCACUGGAUCAUUAUAAACUGAGGGCUGAUGUUGGCAGAAUUCCAGCGAUCACAAUUUGUGGAAAAAUUCUGCAGUGGCUGUAAAGCCCAGGCUGUGGACUUGACCCAUGUGUGUGGCCCUGAUCUGUGUCCUGGUCCACUUACCCUGUCUUUGCCCCUGUCUUUGCAGACGUAAUGCUUCUGGUUACCAAGGGGACUAGGCAAAGAGAUAUUUGGUGCAAACUCAAUCUUGACUGCUGGAAAAAAAAAACAACUCAGACUUAUAGGUGAUUAACUUCAAAUGAAGAAUAGCACAAUAUUAUUCUUUUAUGUUUGUAUUUUAUAUGUAGGAUUGCUUUUUUUUUAUUUGCUAUGGGAGUUGCUGUUAAAGAACUGUGAAAAAUAUUCCUUUACAGCUCAAAUAUGUGGUGUUGAGAAUAAGAGCUAAUCUGUUUACAAGUUGUGGAAUAAUAAAGAUGGCUUUUGUCGUAUCAAAUCAGAGCUUUAGCUGCCAGCAUACACCACAGCAGCACCAGGUCUGAGCCGCGUCUGCAACCUACACCGCAGCUCACCACAAGGCAGGAUCCUUAAACCAUUAUGCAAGACCAGGGAUCAAACUGAGUCCUCAUGGAUACUAGUCAGGUUCAUUACCACUGAGCCACAAUUGGAACUCUUCCAUUCUCAUUCAGAUUCUUUUCCCACACAGAUGAUCACAGAAUAUUGGGCAGAGUUCUCUGUGCUAUACAGCAGGUCCCUAGGGGCCAAUCAUUGCAUAUACCUCAGUGAGCAUAUGCCAAUGCCAAACCCCAGUCCACUCCACCCCACCCUGCCAGAUCUGUCCCUUUUGGUAACCAUAAAAGUGUCAAAGUCUGUGAGUCUGUUUCUGUUCUGCAAACAAGCUCAUUUGUAUUCUUUUUAAGGAUUCCACAUGUAAGUGAUAUCAGAUGAUGUUUGUCUUUCACUAACUUCACUUAGUAUGAUGAUUUCUAGGUCCGUCCAUGUUGCUGCAAUAGGCAUUAUUUCAUUCUUUUUGACGGCUGAGAAAUAUUCCAUUGUAUUUAUGUUGUACCACAUCUUCUUUAUUCACUCCUCUGUCAACGUUUAGGUUUCUUCCAUGUCUUGGCUAUUGUGAGUCGUGCUGCAAUGAACACUGGGGGUACACAUAUCUUUUUGAAUUAUGGUUUUCUCCAGAGAGAUGCCCAGGAGAGGAAUUGCUGGACCACAUGGUAGUUUUAUUUUUAGUUUUUUGAGGAACCUCCAUUCUCUUUUCCAUAGUGGUUGCACUAAUUUUCAUUCUCCCCAACAGCGUAAGAGGGUUCCUUCCCUUUUCUCCGUACCCUCACCAGCAUUUAUUAUUUGUAGACUUUUUGAUGAUGGCCAUUCUCGCUGGUGUAAGGUGAUAUCUCAUAGUAGUUUUGAUCGGCAUCCAAAUCUUACUGUUUCUUUAAGGCCCAAUUCAAAUACUGUUUUGUGUGUGUGUGUGUGUGUGUGUGUGUGUGUGUGUCUUUUUGCCAUUCUAGGGCCACUCCCAUGGCACAUGGAGGUUCCCAGCCUAGGGUUCUAAUCGGAGCUGUAGCCACCAGCCUGUGCCAGAGCCAUGGCAACGUGGGAUCCGAGCUGCGUCUGCAACCUACACCACAGCUCACAGCAAUGCCGGAUCCUUAACCCACUGAGCAAGGCCAGGGACCGAACCGCAACCUCAUGGUUCCUAGUUGGAUUCGUUAAGCACUGCGCCACAACAGGAACUCCUCAGAUUCUGUUUUCUGUGUGAGGCUGCAAAGUCCCACAAUUGGCAUAGUUUCUUCUUUUGAAUUAGUGUUAUUUUAUUUUGGCUUGUGUUUUCUACCUAUCGUAUGCUUUAUUAUCCCUUUUCCUUCUGCUUAGACUCAUGAUAUAUCUCUGACGUAUAUGUAUACACAGUGGAAACUCAAUAACUGUUUAUUAAGUGAAGACAUGCGUGAUUGUCUUCAAAAUGGAUGGAAAGCCAUCCUGCUUUGUCAUUGCCUUCCCUCGGACACCAAGUUGGCUUUUGUGUCGAUGGAGGUGAAAGUACCUGUGUAUGGCCUCAGUCUACACGCCUCAGUUACAGUUGCCUUAUAGCCAUCUCCCCUCAGUCUCCAAGAGAGCCAAGGUGCCAUUGCUUUUUUUUUUGGUGGUGGGCGGGGGGAGCUUGUAUCUGAAGUGUAUGGAAGUUCCCGGGCCAGGGAUUGAAUGUGAGCCGCAGCUGUGACCUACACCACAGCUGUGACCUACACCACAGCUGUGGCAACACCAGAUCCUUACUUAACUCACUGUGCCAGGCUGAGGAUUGAACCUGCACCUUUGCAGCCACCCAAGCCACUACAAUCAGAUCCUUAACCCAGUGGGAACUCCUGCCUUUUCGCUUAAAUCUGCCUCUGGUUGAUCCCUCUCCCCUUCUUUCCUCUUAUUACUCUUCAGUUAAGUUUUUUCUUUCUUGUUUAAGUGACUCUUCUUUACAAAGAUCUAAAUACUUAGUUUCCAGGCAUGGAUGGUCAUCGGAGGGAAAAUGGAUGUUCUGCAGGGUGCUGUGGGGUGAAACCCUUUUGAAAGUACCAAGACCGAUAAGGCUGUCUGCUUAUCUUCCUGCUGGCAAAGGACGAGCUAUUUACUGAGCUAAAAUGAUAAAUAUUCCAAGAGCAAGCUCUGAAGUCACCAUGCCCCACAGUAUUCUUUGCAGUCUCUCUGGUUUCGAUAACUGAUAAAUCCACUAGAUGUAAAUCUUAGCCAGUAAAAGAGCCAGUGGAUAAUUGUUUUGGGUUUGAGGGCCUCUGCUGAAAUGAUUUUCAAGUUGCUAAUAAUCUUAGAACCAACUUCAAAGAGAUGGAUUAAUGCGGUCCCUUUUCACAUUUGUAUGUAACAUUUUUUCCCACAUCCAGCUAUUUAUUCAUUUAAAUUUUUUGUUCUGAAACACAAAAGUUAUCUCAUUUUUGGUUUGGAAUUCGCAUUUUAAGAGGUUACUAGAAAAGUCCUCUGAUUCACCUGUAAUUGAAGAGUUCUCCUUUGAAGUUCAAAUCUUUCUUAGCUCUAAUUUGAAAGGGAGUUAUGUUUCUGUGAUGGACUCAUGACAUUUCUUAUUGGGGAUAUAAAAGGUCAGAUUUUAAUGCCUUCUUGUGAUAUAUGCAUCUGGCUCAAGAUCAGGCAGUUUUGAAUGAUGGCAUUUAAUUGUAAUUUAGUGAAGGGGUAAGAGAUAAGAAAUUAUGGCUUUGCUGCAAUGCCUGAACUAUACACCGUUUCCUUAGCCCUCUGCAUGGGGGUUUGUGGGUUGGAAGCUGCAACUUAAAGGAGCCUUUCGGGGAUGCCAUGAUGAUGCUCUGAGUUAAGAGCAAAAGCUGGUCCUGGCUCAAGUUCUAGUGACUGUCUGACAUCCUGCCUUUGAAACAUAAAGACAAAGGUAUAAGUCCUUGUCUUCUGAACAUUCUGGAACUCCCAGAUGGAUAUUUCCCUGUUAACCUCCCGUUUUAUCCAGCUGCCUCAGACUUCUUACGUUGUCACUUCCUUUUCUCCUAGUAAAAAUUCUUGAGUUUACAAAGAUACCUACCCCCUUCCUUCCUUUGUUGUGUAGAACAAAGGACUGCUUAAGAUCAAAUCAACUGAAUGAGUAUUCUCCCUUCUCAAUCUAAGAAAAUUACUUCUCUUUCUGUUUUAAAUGAAUCAAAGAAUUGAUCUAACUAGCAGGUAUGAGUUAGUCAUACAUUUAUUAGGAACAGCGAUAAUGUGUUAGAAAAAGUAGUGGGGCUGGAUAAGCUCUCAAUUCUUAUUAGAACUUAGACUCGGGAGUUCUCUUGUGGCGCAGCAGGUUAAGAAGCUGGCAUCACUGCAGCAGCUGCUGCUGAGGUGUGGGUUCAGUCCCUGGCCCAGGAACUUCCACAUGCUGCGGGUGGGGCAAAAAAAAAGAAAAA